UCUAUUCGGACGCUCUAAAUGUUGAGCCGGCGUGCGAAACAUAAUGCAUAGAUUGUGUUUUGUCUGAUGCAAACAAAAAUUGUUGAGAAGUUGCUAUUGUAGCAACUCUUUAAAUAGAGUUUUUUCAUAGUGAACUCUAAUCUACAAUGACCUUCUCUCUCACACACUCUCUCCUUUUCCUCUCUCUAGAAGAGAAAAUGAUCGAUCUGCUAUUGUUGGAGCUCGGAGCUCAAAUCCAUCUUCUCCAAAGCUUGGAAACGAUGGAGAGAUUCAAGAGAAAGCUCUCGGAGGAAGGAGAAGGCACUUCUCUCCCACGUUUGGCUAAAAAAACAGAAGAGGUGAGUGGGUAGUUAGAGAUUUGGAUUUGAGGGUUAUUCCAAAUGGGAAUUUUUAGGGUUUUAAUUGUGCUAAAACCUUUUUUAGAGAUUUUCUUUGUGUUCUAUCUCUUUGUAAAAGAUCUAGCAAAGGUGGGACUGAGAAGGGUUUGAUCUCUCCUUUGUCCAAUGUUUCUUCGAUUUAUUUGCAUGUAUUAUGUGAGAUAAUUAAACUAAAUAAAAUUUUAAUUAGUCGCAUACUAGGAAACAGUGUUUUAACCCUUAUAUGUGAAUGAAAUAGUGGACUUAUGUAUGUGAGUAAAAAUGUAAACUUCAGAUGUAGCAUAAAUAAGAGUGGCAUUUGAACUUAGGUUAAAACCUAAGGUGAAAUGUAGAGACAUGUGAACUCUAGGUUAAAUGUGAAAUAGAGAACAAGCUAUAUGUAUUGGACAUGGUUAAUAACCCUAAAAGUCAUUUAAAUUUACGUUGUCAUAAUGAGUUUUGCCACAACCUUUCGGAAGUGUCAAUAGGGAGUGCCAAUCACCCUUGACUCUCUCACGUGCAUUGGGAGGGCCGAUCACCCUCAACUCCCAUUAUCAGAGUGCUAAUUCUCUGACUCCACGCGUUGUACUUGGAGGGAUGGUUGCUCUCGACUUCAAGUGCUUAUCAAUUGGAGAGUGCUAUGAUCUCCCUCGGCUCUCUAUGAGAUAUGUAUGCUUACUAAUUGGAGAGUAGUAUGAUCUCCCUCAGCUCUUCAUGAGGUGUAUAUGUCUAUCAAUUGGAGAGUAGUACAAUCUUCCUUGGCUCUCCAUGAGGUGUGGUGUGAUAUAGAAUCAAUCAAAUAGAUAGUUAGAGAUAUGAGGUAAUUGGGUAAACAUGUAACCUAUGGUCUAGUGGCAUUUUGUAUACUUGGGGCAUUGUAGUUGUAAAUUUAAUUAUUGUAUCUCUAGUAUAGAAAUAUUUGUUGUUAUCAUUAUCUAUUUACAAAUGGCUCUUUUGGACCGAGUGAGGGUAGAGGGCCACUUUUGAUAGUUGCACCCACUAGAAACUAAAUGUAGUUCUUUUCGCUUCAUUAUUUAUCUUUUUUUCAGAUCCUAUAAUCGCCGAUGAGACGCGUGAUCGCGGCAAAAAUGUUGCAGAGUAGCGGAUAUAGAGAG
rnacentral:lncRNA from 1 species